UGGGGAAUUUUGCACAAUGGGGGAAACCCUGAUGCAGCGACGCCGCGUGAUUUAGAAGGCCUUCGGGUUGUAAAAAUCUUUUCUAUGGGAAGAAAAUGACAGUACCAUAGGAAUAAGGACCGGCUAAUCACGUGCCAGCAGCCGCGGUAAUACGUAAGGUCCGAGCGUUGUCCGGAAUCAUUGGGCGUAAAGGGUACGUAGGCGGGUAAGCAAGUUAGAAGUGAAAUCCUAUAGCUCAACUAUAGUAAGCGUUUAAAACUGCUCAUCUUGAGGUAUGGAAGGGAAAGUGGAAUUCCUAGUGUAGCGGUGAAAUGCGCAGAUAUGAGGAGGAAUGCAGAGGGAGAAGGCGAGUUUCUGGCCAGAACCUGACGCUGAGGUACGAAAGCGUGGGUAGCAAACAGG
rnacentral:rRNA from 1 species